rnacentral:rRNA from 1 species
AUUGAACGCUGGCGGCAUGCUUAAAACAUGCAAGUCGAGCGAGCGGCGGAUGGGUGAGUAAUGUCUGGGAAACUGCCUGAUGGAGGGGGAUAACUACUGGAAACGGUAGCUAAUACCGCAUACCAUCAGAUUUGCCCAGAUGGGAUUAGCUAGUAGGUGGGGUAAUGGCUCACCUAGGCGACGAUCCCUAGCUGGUCUGAGAGGAUGACCAGCAAAACUGGAACGGAGACACGGUCCAGACUCCUAGGGGAGGCAGCAGUGGGGAAUAUUGCACAAGGGGGGCAAGCCUGAUGCAGCCAGGCCGGGUGGGUGAAGAAGGCCUUCGGGUUGUAAAGCACGUUCAGCGAGGAGGCGUUACUCGCAGAAGAAGCACCGGCUAACUCCGUGCCAGCCGCCGCGGUAAUAC